GUUACAGUAACUGCACAGGACCUGGAAAGGAAAGCUCUCUAUUUAUAGUUUAGUAAAUCAGAAACCUACAUGGUAACGCUUCUUGUAAUUCAACAAUGGACUUUUAAUAAUGUAAACAGAGGAAUUAAAUCUAAAAUAGCAUUGAUUUUAGUUGAAGGGAAAAUAUGUAAAGAUGAUGAAGUCAAUGAAAACCUGCCUGUUCACACUAGGUAGACCUUAUUUUUGAAAAAAUAAAAAAUAAAAAAUUGUAUGACAUUCUUUUUCCGAGUGGAGUGUCAUACUCAUUAUUGUCCUUUUUUAUUCACUAGUGUUGUUGUUAAUGCAAGUUCUCUGUCUGUCUUCACAGUUCAGCAGCUUGUUUAGCAGAUCACUACAGAUGCUCCAGGUUUGGCUCAGAGAUGUUUUCCAAACAGGGUCAUUACUGUCCUUAUCUUUGGCCUGCAAAAGGAGAAACAACCAAGAAAUGCUGAAAGCAGGAAAAUCUGCUGCAUUCCAAAGUCUUGGGGAAUGGAAGAAUCAGUGACAUGGUAAUGGGUGGACUGUUCACCUGCUCCUUGACAACAAUUCCUGCAUUUUCACCUAUGAAGCUACUAACAAGAAGAAAACGGAUAAAGUUCCAGGAAAUUUGUCUCAUGAGGAUUAGACAUGCUGCCAUCUGCAAUACAGACAUUUCUAUCAGCGGAUAUGGCCAGGAAAACCUGCUGUUUAGCUAUUUUUCAGGCCAGGACUCGGAGCAAGCUCAGGGGAGUCUGCUGAGCACAGGCCACAGUGGAGCCAUUCAAGGAGCACUGUCCCGCAGUGAUAUGACAUCAACAGGAACUUACCAGGAGAAU
rnacentral:lncRNA from 1 species